GACGAACGCUGGCGGCGUGCUUAACACAUGCAAGUCGAACGGAAAGGCCCUGCUUUUGUGGGGUGCUCGAGUGGCGAACGGGUGAGUAACACGGGAGUAACCUGCCCUUGACUUUGGGAUAACUUCAGGAAACUGGGGCUAAUAACGGAUAGGAGCUCCUGCUGCAUGGUGGGGGUUGGAAAGUUUCGGCGGUUGGGGAUGGACUCGCGGCUUAUCAGCUUGUUGGUGGGGUAGUGGCUUACCAAGGCUUUGACGGGUAGCCGGCCUGAGAGGGUGACCGGCCACAUUGGGACUGAGGUACGGCCCAGACUCCUACGGGAGGCAGCAGUGGGGAAUAUUGCACAAUGGGCGGAAGCCUGAUGCAGCAACGCCGCGUGCGGGAUGACGGCCUUCGUGUUGUAAACCGCUUUCGCCUGUGACGAAGCGUGAGUGACGGUAAUGGGUAAAGAAGCACCGGCUAACUACGUG
rnacentral:rRNA from 1 species